GAUGAACGCUAGCGGGAGGCCUAACACAUGCAAGCCGAGCGGUAUUUGUUCUUCGGAACAGAGAGAGCGGCGCACGGGUGCGGAACACGUGUGCAACCUGCCUUUAUCUGGGGGAUAGCCUUUCGAAAGGAAGAUUAAUACCCCAUAAUAUAUUGAGUGGCAUCAUUUGAUAUUGAAAACUCCGGUGGAUAGAGAUGGCCACGCGCAAGAUUAGAUAGUUGGUGAGGUAACGGCUCACCAAGUCAAUGAUCUUUAGGGGGCCUGAGAGGGUGAUCCCCCACACUGGUACUGAGACACAGACCAGACUCCUACGGGAGGCAGCAGUGAGGAAUAUUGGACAAUGGGUUAGCGCCUGAUCCAGCCAUCCCGCGUGAAGGACGACGGCCCUAUGGGUUGUAAACUUCUUUUGUAUAGGGAUAAACCUACUCUCGUGAGAGUAGCUGAAGGUACUAUACGAAUAAGCACCGGCUAACUCCGUG
rnacentral:rRNA from 1 species